rnacentral:rRNA from 1 species
CCUACGGGAGGCAGCAGUGAGGAAUAUUGGUCAAUGGGCGAGAGCCUGAACCAGCCAAGUCGCGUGAAGGAUGACGGCCCUACGGGUUGUAAACUUCUUUUGUCAGGGAGCAAGUGGGUCCACGCGUGGGCUUAGCGAGAGGACCUGAAGAAAAAGCAGCGGCUAACUCGGUGCCAGCAGCCGCGGUAAUACGGAGGAUGCGAGCGUUAGCCGUAUUUCUUGGGUUUAAAGGGUGCGUAGGCGGAAUAUCAAGUCAGCGGUAAAAAUUCGGGGCUCAACCCCGUCGUGCCGUUGAAACUGGUGUUCUUGAGUGGGCGAGAAGUAUGCGGAAUGCGUGGUGUAGCGGUGAACUGCAUAGAUAUCACGCAGAACUCCGAUUGCGAAGGCAGCCUACCGGCGCCCAACUGACGCUGACGCACGAAAGCGUGGGUAUCGAACAGGAUUAGAUACCCGGGUAGUC